rnacentral:lncRNA from 1 species
GGUUCGCAAUCAAAAUCAGAAUAAGAAUGAAAAUCGGAAUGGCUUGGAAUCAAAAUUGGAAUGACCAAAUCCUCCAAGCAUUUGGUUCGUGAUCGGAAUUGAAAUCAGAAUCGAAAUUGAAAUAAAAAAUUGAAUCCAUAGAGAAGAGUAGGGAUUGAGUUUUAUAUAGAUUGAGCCAUUUUCAUUCCACUCCGAAAUCAAAAUCAGAAUGGAACUCCUCCC